rnacentral:snRNA from 1 species
CGAUGUGAGAGCAAUCUAGCUGUGAUAUCUGUCACCCCAUUGAUCGCCAGGGUUGAUUCGGCUGAUCUGGCUGGCUAGUUGGGUGUCCCCUUCCUCCCUCAGUGCUCCAUGUACAUCCCUCCUGAAGCUGCUCGCUCAGCACCAGAGAACAACCUUUCCCGAUAGAGGAGGACCAGUCUUCGGUCAAGGGUAUAUGAGUAGCUGUGCUUCCCUGCUAGAAGCUCAAAACAAACUCUCAGCAGAUGAUGAGAAGAUAAUUCACCGUGUGAUCAUCUCAAGAUGAAAGAUCAUGAGGAUACAGUGAUAAUCU